AGGGGCCUGCUCGGGGAUGAAUCUCUCACAGACCUGUGCUGAUGGCGCGUAUUCAUUCCCGAAAAACGAUGCUUCUCUCGGAGCAUGGAAUCCUCACCCGCGGGUUCCCCGUGGCCCCUCCCCAGCCGCGGGAGCUGGGGAUCCCCUGAGGCCUGGAUUCAAUCCCCUUCUGCCCCCCGGGGGUCCCGGAUGGGGUGAGCCCCUUCCCCCGUGGGGCAGAGCCGGGGGGCCCGAGGCCGGCUCGGGACUUCGGGGGGCACGAGGUGACGUCAACCAUCAACACACCUGGAGCCAGGUGCCGCAGGUGUCGGGGGGCUCAGCUCUUGGAUCAUCGAUGCAAAUCAAUUUUUCAUCAAUGCAAAUAAAAAUCGUUAUUUUUGUUAAAAACCUUGAGUUUGUUUUUAUUUGGGGAGGGGGGAACCCCAGAUGGGGUCGGGGUGGGGGGUCCCAUUCCCCUGGAGGGGCUCAGUGUCCCUGCCCGGGGACAAAACCCAGCCCAGGACCCCAAAUUUUGGGUUAAAAAACCCAAUUUUGGAACCUUUGAAGGAUUUUGGUCCUGCCCAGAUCACCCCAAAAUUCCCCAAACAGAGAGAAACGCCCCAAUAUCCCCCCAAACCCGCAAUGCGGCCGUGGAUAUGCAAAUUUAUGUUUAAUUAGGCUAAUCAAGCACUGCGAAAUAAUACUAUUUAAUGAUUAUUUAAUGAUGUAAUUCUUUAAUAAGCGCGGUUAUGCUAAUGAGAUCGGGUAUCGUGUUUUAAGGGGCGUGGCGAAUGCAAAUUAAGGGCUCGAUCAUCCAAUCAGGAGCGGACAGCUGAGGGGCGUGGCUUCAAAACGCCGUGCCGUGAGAGGGGCGGAGUUAUGUAGAUUAAAUAGGCGGUGUUAUGCAAAUCAGAGACGCUGGGACACACCCACAGCCCGCGAAAAUGCAUGACGGGAGCAGAAUUGGGGCAGAAUUCGGGGGUUUCGGGGCUCGGCGCGGGCGGAGCGCGGGAGCGAAGCGCGGAGCGGCUGCGGAAAAGCUCCCGGAGCGGCUCGGGGCAGCUGCGGGGGCGGCGCGGGGGUGACCGUGAGGUGCGGGCGGGCCGAGCGGGGCCGGCUGCGGGGAGCGGAGCGAGCCCGGCAUCGCUUCUCGGCCUUUUGGCUAAGAUCAAGUGUAGUAUCUGUUCUUAUCAGUUUAAUAUCUGAUACGUCCUCGAUGAGAGGACUUCAUAUUAAACGGAUUUUUGGGCUCGGGAGUUGGACCCGGAG
rnacentral:lncRNA from 1 species